AUUGAACGCUGGCGGCAUGCUUACACAUGCAAGUCGAACGAGUGGAGGACGGGCGGGUAGUACAUUAGAACGUGGCCGACUGCGGGGGAUAACGAAGUGAAAGCUUGCUAUUCCGCAAUGCCACGGACCGGCAGAUGGCGGAUGAGGUGGUUGGGUGGUUAAUAGCUUACCAAGCCGACGAUCCGAAGCUGGGCUGAGAGGACGACCAGCCACACUGGGACUGAGACACGGCCCAGACUCCUACGGGAGGCAGAAGUGGGGAAUUUUGGACAAUGGGCGCAAGCCUGAUGCAGCCAUGCCGCGUGCAGGAUGAAGGCUUCGGGUUGUAAAGUGCUUUUGUACGGAACGCGGUACCGGAAGAAGAAGCACCGGCUAACUACGUGCCAGCAGCCGCGGUAAUAC
rnacentral:rRNA from 1 species